UUGUAAAAUUAUUUCAAAUAUAUAAAAGUUACCUUUUGCAUAAUGGUUUAAUUAAAUUUUAAAAAUUUUUCAUUCCCGAAAUAAAAAGAUCUAAUAAAAAAUUAAAAAUAUGUUUUAAAAUAUUUAUUUAAUUUUUUAUUAGGUGUGAAAGGCUAGUCAAUUUUUAUGAUAUCUGGAUAAGAUUAAAUGUAUUUAGUACAGGCUUAAAGCUGAUGAGCCCCCUGUUAAGGGGGGGCUCAAAAAGUAUAUUAAUAUUAUAAAUUUAUUUAGGAUAAUUCUAUAAUAACUACUGUGUGUUUAUAAUUAUUUAUUUACUGAUCUGGGUUUUUUUUCUAGAAAAUUCUAAUUUCUUAAAUUUUUCAUAAUGUUAAAAUAAGUAUUAUUAAUAAUUAAAUAUAG
rnacentral:rRNA from 1 species